rnacentral:miRNA from 14 species
UACGUGUGUGUGUGUGUGUGUGUGUGUGUGUGGAAACUAGACUGCCAAAGGGAUUAUCCCUCAUCUGUCACUUUUCACUAAAGACCAUAUGUUUCCACAUGAAGCCCUCCAGCGCGCGCACACACACACACACACACACACACACACACA